UAAAUAAACUAGCAUUGACGAAAACUAUGAACUAGCAUCAUCUUUAUGUUUUCAAGAGUUAACUGGUGUUUGAUAAAAUUGGAAGUUGAAAACUAAAAGUUGAGGAAAAUUCUAAUAUACACUCCUUUAAAAAAUGUGUAUCAUAUGAACCCCUAAUUAUGUUAUUUUAUUCUUUAGUUAUGUUAUUUUCUUCUUUAGUUAUGAACAAUUUUCUUUACACACCAGGUUUUUCCCCUUUAAAUCCACAUAUAUGUGUUUCUCAGUGUUUUAAUGUAUAUAUUUUUGUUUGAAGGGUUAUCGAGAGUAUGGUGUUUUGAAUUGCUUUAGUUUCUCAACUUUAUGGGGAGAUCCUAGAAGAGAAUGGUAUUGACUUGGCUGAAAUGAAGAUUUUGAGGAGGAAAAUGGAGGAGCUUGGGAUUGAUAGCAACAUCUGUAAACCAGGGCAGUACAACCACUUAAGUUGCCCAAUGUUCGCUUGCUGUAUCUAUCAUGGGCAUUUUAUUGUGUUAAGAAUUCAGCUUUGUGGACCUGUUUUCAAGCAAAAUGUGGCUGGAGAGGCAAUAUAGGGCCUAUGUAAAUGGAAAUUCAACGUCUGGAAGGAUUGCUCAUAUACCGAAAGUUAAGCAGACUAGAGAAAUCACCGAGAAAAGUUUGUAUUUGGAACCAACUUGUAGUGAGGUCUGGAGAUUUUUAAUAAAUUUUGCUGACGUUCUGGGCUUUGGCCAUUUAUGCUGGAUGAAUUUGUUCAAGCUUUUCAUGAUUAUGAUCCAAGGUUGUUAGGGGAGAUUCAUGUAGCUCUUCUAAGAUCCAUAAUUAAAGAUAUUGAGGAUGUAGCAAGGACACCCUCUUCGACUGGGUUGGGAGUAAAUCAAAAUACUGCUGCCAAUCCUGGAGGUGGCCAUCCACAGAUUGUUGAAGGGGCGUAUGCUUGGAGCUUUGAUAUACGCAGCUGGUAGUGCCACUUAAAUCCAUUGACCUGGCCUGAGAUAUUGCGACAAUUUGCUCUCUCUGCUGGAUUUGGGCCAAAAUUGAAGAGAAGGAGUAUUGAAAAAGCAUAUCUUCGUAAUGAAUUAAGGACAAGUUUUGGUAUAAUUCAGCAGAAGCAUAUAUAAAUUGUUGCAAACAAAUAUUAUAUGAAGGCCUGUCACCAAGAUCUGGAGGACUUGGCCAGCUCAAGAUCAGCAUGAAUGUGAAGUCAACAAAUUAAUCUCACUUCCGUUUUUUGUGCUUGUAUUCCUUGUCCUGAGCUCAGUAGCUCCUCCUUUAUGGGGUAAAUUAACCUAACUUUUGUUUUCCUUGCAUUCCUUGGUUCUCUCUCCAGUUCAUUGGAAUAUUUAAAUCAAUUUUCCUGAAAAGUUGUUGGCCACUUGCUUAGGUUACAAUUCAGUCAACCUUCUUGUUGGUUACAAUUCAUUUUUGGAUAUGUUAUUUUGUUAUUAAUGGUGAUUGGAUAUUAAAUUGAAUGGGAAAGUGAAUUAAUGUUACAUUUUGAAUGGGAGUUAUUAUUUCA